CAUGCAAGUCGAACGGCAGCGCGGGAGCAAUCCUGGCGGCGAGUGGCGAACGGGUGAGUAAUACAUCGGAACGUGCCCAAUCGUGGGGGAUAACGCAGCGAAAGCUGUGCUAAUACCGCAUACGAUCUACGGAUGAAAGCAGGGGAUCGCAAGACCUUGCGCGAAUGGAGCGGCCGAUGGCAGAUUAGGUAGUUGGUGAGGUAAAGGCUCACCAAGCCUUCGAUCUGUAGCUGGUCUGAGAGGACGACCAGCCACACUGGGACUGAGACACGGCCCAGACUCCUACGGGAGGCAGCAGUGGGGAAUUUUGGACAAUGGGCGAAAGCCUGAUCCAGCCAUGCCGCGUGCAGGAUGAAGGCCUUCGGGUUGUAAACUGCUUUUGUACGGAACGAAACGGCCUUUUCUAAUAGAGAGGGCGAAUGACGGUACCGUAAGAAUAAGCACCGGCUAACUACGUGCCAGCAGCCGCGGUAAUACGUAGGGUGCAAGCGUUAAUCGGAAUUACUGGGCGUAAAGCGGGCGCAGGCGGUUAUGUAAGACAGUUGUGAAAUCCCCGGGCUCAACCUGGGAACUGCAUCUAUGACUGCAUAGCUAGAGUACGGUAGAGGGGGAUGGAAUUCCGCGUGUAGCAGUGAAAUGCGUAGAUAUGCGGAGGAACACCGAUGGC
rnacentral:rRNA from 1 species